rnacentral:rRNA from 1 species
GACGAACGCUGGCGGCGUGCUUAACACAUGCAAGUCGAACGAUGAAGCUGGAGCUUGCUCCGGUGGAUUAGUGGCGAACGGGUGAGUAACACGUGAGAAAUCUGCCCUCCACUCUGGGAUAACUGCGGGAAACUGUAGCUAAUACCGGAUACUUUCCCUGGUGGGCAUCCACUAGGGAUGAAAGAAUUUCGGUGAAGGAUGAUCUCGCGGCCUAUCAGCUAGUUGGUGCGGUAAUGGCUCACCAAGGCGACGACGGGUAGCCGGCCUGAGAGGGUGACCGGCCACACUGGGACUGAGACACAGCCCAGACUCCUACGGGAGGCAGCAGUGGGGAAUAUUGCACAAUGGGCGAAAGCCUGAUGCAGCAACGCCGCGUGAGGGAUGAAGGCCUUCGGGUUGUAAACCUCUUUUAGCAGGGAAGAAGCGAAAGUGACGGUACCUGCAGAAAAAGCACCGGCUAACUACGUGCCAGCCGCCGCCGUAA